AAAUGUUCUUAUAUUUCUGCUUAAGAUACAGAAAGCUGCUCAGCACAUCGCUUCUGUCCUAAUAAUGAGAAAAUGACAGAUAAACUACAAAAUCGUUACUUUUGUUGAGCUCAUGAGAAAGAUGAGGUUGUGAGGCAACCAAGUAACCUCAUUCAGAAGAGAGACAAGCCCCUCCGAGGAGAAAUGGGCUUCACAACUGUCUCCACUCUGGCAGAGCAUGGGGAAGAGAGGCACAGCCACUGUCCACGUGGGGAGAAGAAAUCAGCUAAAUUGUAACACAAAAUCCAUGUGUGGUAGACUACAGCCUCAAGUCUUUGGAGUGGCAGAGUCUAUUACUCCCAGGGCAGACAGACCAAGAUACGUUGCUUAAUAGCUGCAUGAAAAGCACUUGAUAACAUUGAACAUCCAUUUAUGAUGAAAACUCAGCAAACUAGAACUUCCUCAAUCUGAUAAAGGACAUCUACAAAAACCCUACGGCUACCAUCAUACUUAAUGCUGGAAGAUUGAAUCUAUAAAUUGUACGUCCCUACAGUGGAAUACUUCUCAUCAAUAAGAUGGAUGAACUACUGAUAAAAGCAGCGGCAUGGAUGAAUCUCAAAAGCAUUACGGUUACUGUUUGUUGGAGCAUUACCUAGGGGAAGAUGCUUGCCAAAGGGAGGAAGAAUGGCCGGGGAGCCUCCGGCUUCAUCAUUACUGCUGAGGUGUCACUCUCAUCCCCAUCUCAGGAAAAGCAAGGCCCCUUUGCAAGGGUGCCGUUGGAUGCGAAUGUCCAGUGCCAGUGGUUAUGAGC